ACUCAUAUAUACAUGUUGAUCCAUGUUGAGAGGUUAUGUUGUACUUGUUGUUUUGUUCGGAAUUUCUGAAAUUUGUAGUUUGUGGAGUUGCCUCGUAGAUUUUAGGUUUACAAUCUUAGAGGUAUUAUUGUUCAUGCUUAGAGAUAUUGAUUACUCGUUUUAAGCUUUUAGAUUUGCAUUUGCUUCUUCUAAAUUUUGGAGGUAUUGAUUACUCGUUUAAGCUUCUAGAUUUGUCUUUGUUUCUUCUUCGGCGAUUUUAGGUUUACAAUUUUCUGUCUGAAUCUCUAUUGCUCCUUGUCGCUAUUUUCUGUCUGAAUCUCUGAGUUUAGGUUCAAUUGCUUCUUCUCAAUUCUUCUCCAACUUUUCCUCUUCUUCUCUUAACAAAUGUGUAAUUGGCUAAAAUCUUGGUUUUGUGGACACACUGACAUUAAAACAACUGUGGAUGAUUGUGUUACACUUGUGAAUGGGGAUGUGGAAACUUUGGAAAAUUUGGAAGUUGGUUAUCGGAGGUAGAUCGUGACAACUGAAAAUAAGAGGGGUCAAACUACAAAUGACGGAAGUAAGCUUUUAACAUUGUUAUUGAUAAGUAAGCUUACCAUUCUUACUGAUCUUUGAUCAUUUUCUUUUUUUCUUUUACCACAGAAAUUGCUAUGUACAACGACGAGACUAGACUUUUAGGAUUAGAGUGUGAUUAAACCAACAGACAGUUCACAGCCUUUGGGGAAGAGGUAACCAUUCUUCUUUUUCGAAAUUUUCAUAUGUAUUAUCGUUUUGAUAGUCAUAUCUUUAUAUAUAUAUAUAU
rnacentral:sRNA from 1 species